GUGCUAUCGCUUUGGCAGCACAUAUACUAAAAUUGGAACGAUACAGAGAAGAUUAGCAUGGCCACUGUGCAAGAAUGACACGCAAAAUGUUUAUAUAUGUAAAAAAUAGUC